CAUCUAAGGACCUUUAGAAGAACUGCAUUUGUCCAAACUGGUCACCAAAAUGUGUCCUCUGUCUGUGCAAGGGUUCAAAAAUUCUUGAUAAUUCAACCAGCUCAGUAUCCAAAGGAAGCAGGAAAGAGAUGAAAUAAUAUCAAGAUUUCUUCCGCUGAGUACUGAAAUGCUACUUGGACCAUGCAAAAGGAUUUCCAUCCCCCUGGCUACCAGCAAGACCGCCUGAAAGAAACUGGCAAGGGGAUGAAAUAUACUUGGAACCGCAGACACUUAAGUUUUCUGAUAGAAUUAGCUAACAUACUGCACUGUAGUUCAGGCCUGGGACGUAGCGGGGCUCGUCCCUUGCACAGAGAGGAGAUGGGCAUCCCUCUGAAACACUGCUGCAGGAGAAAGACUCUGAUGAUCACACUUCAUGGCUUUGAUGCGCUGAUGAAAUGGCGAAAGGGCACAUGUUCUGGACAACUAGAAAUCAUUUUCACUUAACUUUAAGACAAACCACGGAGCGAAACACCAUGACUCCUGCUGAGUACAUUUCAAACACAGGAAGAGUGGAGGAUUUCUUCUGAAAUCAGAGCACAAAAGCAGUCAUCCUGUCAUAACACCCAUCUAAAAGGCUGCCUUUCCCCAAAGACGCUAACAGAUACGCUCCCAAUAGCGGGUAACAUAAUGAUUCUUGACGUUAUUUGAAAGACAAGGAAAAGGAGGCUAAAUAUAAUGGAAAUACUAGAGAAGAAACACUGCUGUGUUCACAUUAUUUAAUGAAGACUUCUUGCUGUUUAGAAGGUGAACUAGUUAAGGAUGCAUACAUGUGAAAGGACAGGGACACAUUAAAUGUGUUUUUGGCCCAAAC